UUGGCACAUUACCUGCCUGAUGUGAAC
rnacentral:piRNA from 1 species